rnacentral:rRNA from 2 species
AAAUUGAAGAGUUUGAUCAUGGCUCAGAUUGAACGCUGGCGGCAGGCCUAACACAUGCAAGUCGAGCGGAAACGAGU